AUUUGACACGUGUUCAGUAGUUAGGUUGAGCCGAUCAGCGCUGACAGACUGCUUCCCUCCCACAGCUUCAUGGUAAAGGAUAUUUCACUGUGGACGUCAAGCUCUUUGGCCAAGGCACCAGACUGUAUGUAACAGAGGAGGAACCCAGGACGCCCCGUGUGGGUGUCUACCAGGCAUCCACAGCUGAUGGGAAAGGGAAGUCCACGCUGGUGUGUCUGGUCACAGACAUGCAUCCAGACCUGGUCAGGAUCUCUUGGAAGGCUGAGAGAGAGAGAGGCCAAUCAAACACAGUGGAACAGAGAGACCACAAAAGUACCACCAGUAUGAUCCAGAUUAAUGAGGAAGAGCUAUCACAGAUGGACUACACCUGUUCUGUUCAGCACCAAACUGGUAUCAAGACUGUGGUCAUCAAAUCAAGAGUCUCCUUCCAGUCUGUGUGCAGAGUCAAGCUGGCCUCUGUGGUUUACAGCCUGAUGAUAGUGAAGAGCAUAGUGUACUGCUGUGGACUCUCUCUCCUGCUCAUCCACACCAACAAGAGGGGCUGUUGACUGGCUGUUGACUGGCUGUUGUUUGGAGCAGCCGUGACUUCAAACAGGUUGUGGGUCAGAUGAAGUUUUCUGCUGUUAGCUUUCUGUCAUUAAACAGACGGGGGGAUGUUAGUCCAUCUAUGUGGUGAGUUAUUAUCAUCUGUCAGACGACAGGGCUGGGUUUGCUUUCUUCAGAAUUUUCCACUGUUUAUUAUUUAGUUGUUUUAAUUCUAAUAAAAAGAUUAACAUGUAAAAUUAAUAAGUUAACCUGCUCACUAAUUUGAACCGAGCUACAUCUAAAUACAGCAACGAUCAGAUAUGAUUUCUCUUUCGGUUGAAUUAUCAAUUCAAAAUAGUUCUCAAAGUAAACACAUUUAAUUUAUAUUUUGACUGUGAUAAAAAGUGGAAUGGUUUUGACACAAGUGUAAAGGACAAAGUUGGACAAAAUCCAUCCGUUAAUUACAAAACCUGUGUAAAUAUUCGGGAAUGUAUAUAACAUUUAGUACAUUUCUAAAUGAGCUGUUGUGAGGUUUUGAUGAGUUGAAUGUAAUGCUUUAUAACGAGUAGCCGUAAACAGUGAUUAAUAAAUGAGUAAUAAGACACUUAUAAGCUCUUACAACACACUUGGUAACACUAGCAGACAGGUUGGAAAUAUUAAAAACCGUCUCAUUAACGCGUCUUGUAACGCUGUAUCUGGUGUCUCCUGCACUGUUCCUCUGAACUGUUCCUCUGAAUGUCACCUGUUCCUCUGAGCACUGUUCCUCUGAACACUGUUCCUCUGAACACUGUUCCUCUCAA